rnacentral:rRNA from 1 species
GAGGARGGUUGUUGCUGGCUCUUCUGGGCAUGUGCACGCUCUCCCUUGAAGCUACUUCCACCUUCAUACACCUUUGUGCACCGUCUGUAGGGGGUCCCGUGAAGGGGUGACCUAUGUUUAUUUUUACAAACWCUGUACUGUCAUGGAAUGUGGUCGCGUUUAACGCACAAAUAUACAACUUUCAGCAACGGAUCUCUUGGCUCUCGCAUCGAUGAAGAACGCAGCGAAAUGCGAUAAGUAAUGUGAAUUGCAGAAUUCAGUGAAUCAUCGAAUCUUUGAACGCACCUUGCGCUCCCUGGUAUUCCGAGGAGCAUGCCUGUUUGAGUGUCAUGGAAUCAUCAAACCUUUAAGCUCUCUCCUGUAGAGGUGUUUGAAGGUUUGGACUUUGGAGGUUUAAUUGCUGGCGCUUCCGUGUGUUGGCUCCUCUUGAAUGCAUUAGCUCGGACCUUUGCUGUAUCGGCUUCAGCGUGAUAAUUGUCUGCGCUGUGGCUGUGAGGCUGCCAUGAGGUUUGGCUUCUAGUGGUCUCCUCAGAGAGACAUUUCACUUUGACCUCUGGCCUCAAAUCAGGUAGGACUACCCGCUGAACUUAAGCAUAUCAAUAAGCGGAGGAAAAGAAACUAACAAGGAUUCCCCUAGUAACUGCGAGUGAAGCGGGAAAAGCUCAAAUUUAAAAUCUGGUAGCUUCGCUGCCCGAGUUGUAAUCUGGAGAAGUGCUUUCCGUGCCGGACCGUGUACAAGUCUCUUGGAACAGAGCGUCAUAGAGGGUGAGAAUCCCGUCUUUGACACGGACUGCCGGUGCUUUGUGAUGCGCUCUCGAAGAGUCGAGUUGUUUGGGAAUGCAGCUCAAAAUGGGUGGUAAAUUCCAUCUAAAGCUAAAUAUUGGCGAGAGACCGAUAGCGAACAAGUACCGUGAGGGAAAGAUGAAAAGAACUUUGGAAAGAGAGUUAAACAGUACGUGAAAUUGCUGAAAGGGAAACGCUUGAAGUCAGUCGCGUCGGCCAGGACUCAGCCUUGCUCUCGCUUGGUGUAUUUUCUGGUUGACGGGUCAGCAUCAGUUUUGAUUGCCGGAGAAUGGCCAGGGGAAUGUGGCAUCUUCGGAUGUGUUAUAGCCCUCGGUCGCAUACGGUGGUCGGGACUGAGGAUCUCGGCACCUCGUGCUAAGGAUGCUGGCAUAAUGGCUUUAAACGACCCGUCUUGAAACACGGACCAAGGAGUCUAACAUGCAUGCGAGUGUUUGGGUGGAAAACCCGAGCGCGCAAUGAAAGUGAAAGUUGAGACCCCUGUCGUGGGGGGCAUCGACGCCCGGACCUGACCUUUGGUGACGGCUCUGCGGUAGAGCAUGUAUGUUGGGACCCGAAAGAUGGUGAACUAUGCCUGAAUAGGGUGAAGCCAGAGGAAACUCUGGUGGAGGCUCGUAGCGAUUCUGACGUGCAAAUCGAUCGUCAAAUUUGGGUAUAGGGGCGAAAGACUAAUCGAACCAUCUAGUAGCUGGUUCCUGCCGAAGUUUCCCUCAGGAUAGCAGAAACUCAUGUCAGAUUUAUGUGGUAAAGCGAAUGAUUAGAGGCCUUGGGGUUGAAACAACCUUAACCUAUUCUCAAACUUUAAAUAUGUAAGAACGGGCUGUCGCUUGACUGGACCGCCCGGCGAUUGAGAGUUUCUAGUGGGCCAUUUUUGGUAAGCAGAACUGGCGAUGCGGGAUGAACCGAACGUGAGGUUAAGGUGCCGGAAUACACGCUCAUCAGACACCACAAAAGGUGUUAGUUCAUCUAGACAGCAGGACGGUGGCCAUGGAAGUCGGAAUCCGCUAAGGAGUGUGUAACAACUCACCUGCCGAAUGAACUAGCCCUGAAAAUGGAUGGCGCUCA